GUGCUUGCUUCAGCAACACACAUACUAAAAUUAAAACAGUACAGAGGAGAUGAACAGAGCCCAGAUUAGGAUGAUAUAUAAGUUCAGUAAGUGUUUUACAUUUUU
ensembl:snRNA U6 U6 spliceosomal RNA